rnacentral:rRNA from 1 species
AUAGAGACUCAGAGCUGCAUAUCAAUAAGCGGAGGAAAAGAAACUAACAAGGAUUCCCUUAGUAACGGCGAGUGAAGCGGGAAGAGCUCGAAUUUGAAAUCUUCAAGGUUUUACCUUGACGAAUUGUAGUUUAUAGAAGUGUUUUCUGUUAGUAGGAGUGGUAAAAGUUCUUUGGAAUAGGACAUCAUAGAGGGUGAGAAUCCCGUAUUUGACCAUUCUUUCUAGCUUUGUGAUACACUUUCGAAGAGUCGGAUUGUUUGGGAAUGCAGUCCAAAAUGGGUGGUAAAUUUCAUCUAAAGCUAAAUAUUGGCGAGAGACCGAUAGCGAACAAGUACCGUGAGGGAAAGAUGAAAAGAACUUUGAAAAGAGAGUUAAAUAGUACGUGAAAUUGUCAAAAGGGAAGCGUUUGACACCAGUGUUGUUUUCUCGAAAAUCAAUUAAGAAUGACCGAUUUUGUUUUAAGUAUUGACUUUAUCAGCUUUCUGCACUUUUUUCUUGUAACUUUUUAAUGCACUUUUCGGUUAACAAGUCAACAUCAAUUUCUUUUGUUGUAAAAGAGCCAUUGGAAGGUGGCUUUUACUUCGGUAAAAGUGUUUAUAGCCUUUUGCUUCUGCAGUCGGAGAGAUUGAGGUCUGCAGCGUAGAUCCUUCGGGGUUAGAUACAUUUGUGCUAAGCUAUAGUUCUUUAUAGACAACUUGUUGACUAUGAUCAGUCCUGUAGCUUACUCGCUUAUGCUAUUUUACCUACGCUUAGGAUGUUGACGAGACUGUCGAUCUC